AGAACCCCGCGGAAGCUGUGGCUCAUUUCUAAAGGUGCUGGCAAUAUCGAGGAAGACUUGUAUCCACAAAAUUCCAAAUGGAAAAGAGAGAAAAGAGAACAACAAACAGAUGUGUGAAAAAAAGACACGAAGUACAAAACGGAUGUAUUAAUGGUCAGAAUUUUGGAGAAAUGGUCAAGGUUAAAUAAUCAAGUCAUUAUUGUGAAUUUGGAUCUAAAUGACCUGGCAGAAACCAUGGAGAUGAUCUUGGAUUUAAAGAGGAAAAACUCAAAGCAAUGUAUUCUGAUCAAGAAAUGGCAGGAAAUGGCAGCUACCUGAUAUGGAACAAUCAACAACUGAAGGUUUAUUUUGAAUGAGAGGUGUUGUCCAACUGCGAGACGGAGUGAUUGAAGCUGAGAAUAAAUGGAAA
rnacentral:lncRNA from 1 species